rnacentral:rRNA from 1 species
AUGCAUCGCGGCGGAGGAGCACGAGGCCGACGGAGAGGUGGCGGGCCGGAGGCAGGGCGAGCUCCAAGGCGGCCCAUGCGGCGGAUCAAUGGGCGCUCCUCUCGGUCGUCCUCCUCCCGACAGCAGGACAAGCAAGAGGCGGCUCUUGGCUGGUGGUCUGGGUGGCGGAUCCGGCUACUCCGGCGUGGAUCUGGCGGUGGGGCGGACGGAUCGAGGCGGAGGAGCACGAGGCCGACGGAGAGGUGGCUGGCCGGAGGCGGGGCAAGCUCCAAGGCGGCGGGGUUGUUCCAUGGCGACUUCCUUCCCCAUAGAAAACGAAGAUUAGAGACAGAGAGAAGGAAAAAGCCAAGAGAGAGAAGGAGAGAGGGGCGGCGGCAACUCUUGGGCUGGCCUGCUCGUGGCACAGCUGGAGCUCCUCUCCAGGCGCGGCCGGGGGCAGGGAGGCCGGGCUACUGGAGUGGGAAGAAGGGGGCAUUUGCCAAGGGGGAAAGGAUAGAAACGAGUGCUUUUGCUGUAAGAAAUAUGUUUAUUAUCAAAAUAAAUAGUACCACCUUGCUCCUUUGUAAUCAAUCGGAUCAAUUUAUAUACGCCGGCUGCUUGAGGCAUCAACAAGCAGAGGAAGGGAAGGAAUAA